GACGAACGCUGGCGGCGUGCUUAACACAUGCAAGUCGAGCGAGAACCACGGGUGGGUAACCCACCUGUGGGGACAGCGGCGAACGGGUGCGUAACACGUGGGCAACCUGCCCCAGACUCUGGGAUAACCCCGGGAAACCGGGAGCUAAUACCGGAUACUCUCGGCCGGCCACAUGGUCGGCUGAGGAAAGGUCCGCCGGUCUGGGAUGGGCCCGCGGCCUAUCAGCUUGUUGGUGGGGUAACGGCCUACCAAGGCGACGACGGGUAGCUGGUCUGAGAGGAUGAUCAGCCACACUGGGACUGAGACACGGCCCAGACUCCUACGGGAGGCAGCAGUGGGGAAUAUUGGACAAUGGGCGCAAGCCUGAUCCAGCCACGCCGCGUGAGUGAUGAAGG
rnacentral:rRNA from 1 species